GGUAUUACUCCUGCUUCUCUGUCCCUCUGUAUUGUAAACUAAGAUGGAAAUGGAAAAGAGGGAGGUUUCUCUUAGUUGGACAUGGAUUCCACGUCCAAAGAAUUGUGGAGUGGUCCACUGAGAGUGCUGUAUUGCUAUUAUAGCGCUGAAGUGAAGAUGCCAUACCUCCUAUAAUAUCUUUGUCAGAAAGGCCCUUCUCCAUAUUCCAAAAGAAGUCCUUUCGUCUGCAAAAAUCACAAAAAAAAAAACAUGCAGUCAUGUUCCAGAUUAAUAGAGUUGAAUCACCCCCUUGACAACAUACAACAGAAAUCAAUAUUUAAGGAAUAUUUCCAUCAUCUGCUUGGUUCGAAAUUAGGAACUUCUAUCAGUAAUCUAGCAAGUUAUUCAGACACCUUUCUUUCAGUCUGGGAUAUUUCGAGCAGACUUCGUAGAUUUCUUGUUUCAAGAGAAAGUAGCACGUAAGGCUAAUGAUGAACCAAUAAAUCACCUACAG
rnacentral:lncRNA from 1 species